AGAGGACAUACAGAUGGUAAUCUGUUUAUACUUAACACCUGGGCACAGAGGAAUGUAACAGAACUAACAGAACUAUUUAACUCAUCAGGUUCUAUUUCCUUAAUUUAAGCAGUGGACAGACUUAUUUAGCACUCCUGCUCCUCCUCUCAGGCUGGUGUAGCCUUCUGCAGCAGCGGCAGAGGAAUUUGAGCAUGAAGUCCCACAAAACAGUGUUAUCUCAAGCAAGAUUUCAGCAGAAAUAGGGUAAAAUUACAGCCUUCAAUGAACUAUUCCUUCAGCAGCAAAUGUCCCACUUCACUAGGUGCCUCCUUGCUUCAUCCUAAAUUACCCAAGUAGCUAGAGAGAAAUCAGAGAGCAGCAAGUAUCUGAUGCAGAGCCAAGGACUUACUGUUCUGUGUAUCUUAGUGCUUCAGCUGAACAUCUGGAACCAAAUAAGUACUUCAAGCUGUCUUGGGAAUUACAGGAACAACUUCUCUUUCUAAAAUUGCAUAUUGCUUGAAGCUAAACCUGGCAGGUUUCUCUUCAGUUACCUCUGCUGCUUACAAGACAUUUGGACCUUUUUUUCUGAGCCUGGUGGCUUCUUGAUGGAUGCAAACCAGGUGGUGACCCAUCCUGAGAAGAGCACAGCCUGUUACAGCACAGAGGGUUGGAGCCUACUCUGCACAAGGGCUAGAUGGCACCAGCAAAGCACUGUGUACAGGAACAGAGCCCCCGAGGUGCAGCAGGACCAUCACACGCUGGGAGACAGUGAGGCUCUCAGGAGAAAGAUGAAACAAAUAACAGAUGGAUCCCUGGAAUUCUCUGGAAUACAGACCUGGAACACCUCUGUCUCCCUUCUGGCCUGGAGGUCCUCUGCUGCCUUCUACUCUGCUUGGCUCUCCCGCUUCUCCUUUGUCACCCACUGGACCUGGGAACCCUGCAGAGCCGUACCCAUCUGGACCUGUUGAGUUGUUCAGAAUAAAGGGGAAAGAUGAAAUGUUUCUGCAGCUGUCAUGAAAUAUGAAAAUAUUUCCUGAAAACUGUUUUCCUAGUUGAAGAGGUCAUCAACAGUUAAAAUGAGCUGAGAAGACACCAGAAGCCAUAAAUCAGCAACCACGUCUUUGUUAAUGCACCUGGACUUCAGGAGGAAUAAGUGUUUUAGCAGAGGAAACUCUGCCACUCUGAACUGCAAAAACCUCCUUUCUUCUUCUUCACAGCAAAGGAACAUUUGCAAGUGCUCCCACAGAAAUGACUGAAUAGCUGAAGC